rnacentral:tRNA from 1 species
GGCGACGUGCCCGAGCGGUCUAAGGGGGUUGAUUGCAAAUCAACUAUCCGUGGGUUCGAAUCCCACCGUCGCCU